rnacentral:rRNA from 1 species
AAUGAACGCUGGCGGCGUGCUUAACACAUGCAAGUCGCACGAGAAAGCCGUAAUUCGUUAUGGCGAGUAAAGUGGCGCACGGGUGAGUAACGCGUAGGUAACCCACCCCUGUGUUCGGGAUAACACCUCGAAAGGGGUGCUACUACCGGAUGCGACUGUUGCCCGGGAGGGUGACAGUGAAAGAGGGCCUCUUCGUUUGAAAGCUCUUGCACGGGGACGGGCCUGCGUCCUAUCAGCUAGUUGGUAGGGUAACGGCCUACCAAGGCGACGACGGGUAGCUGGUCUGAGAGGAUGAUCAGCCACACUGGCACUGGAACACGGGCCAGACUCCUACGGGAGGCAGCAGUGAGGAAUUUUGCGCAAUGGGGGCAACCCUGACGCAGCAACGCCGCGUGGGUGAUGAAGGCCUUCGGGUCGUAAAGCCCUGUCGGGUGGGAAGAAUACCGUGGGGGUUAAUAGCCUUUACGGGUGACGGUACCACCAGAGGAAGCACCGGCUAACUCCGUGCCAGCAGCCGCCGUAAAAC